AUUGAACGCUGGCGGCAGGCCUAACACAUGCAAGUCGAACGAGUGGCGGACGGGUGAGUAAUGUCUGGGAAACUGCCUGAUGGAGGGGGAUAACUACUGGAAACGGUAGCUAAUACCGCAUACCAUCGGAUGUGCCCAGAUGGGAUUAGCUAGUAGGUGGGGUAAAGGCUCACCUAGGCGACGAUCCCUAGCUGGUCUGAGAGGAUGACCAGGCACACGGGGACCGGGACAAGGGUCCGGCUCCCAAGGGAGGCAGGCAUUGGGAAAUUUGCACAAAGGGGGGAAGGCUUGAGGAGCCCAGGCGCGUGUAUGAAGAAGGCCUUCGGGUUGUAAAGUACUUUCAGCGGGGAGGCGUUACCCGCAGAAGAAGCACCGGCUAACUCCGUGCCAGCCGCCGCGGUAAUAC
rnacentral:rRNA from 1 species